rnacentral:rRNA from 1 species
AGGACGAACGCUGGCGGCGUGCUUAACACAUGCAAGUCGAACGAUGAUGCUCCAGCUUGCUGGGGUGGAUUAGUGGCGAACGGGUGAGUAACACGUGAGUAACCUGCCCUUCACUUUGGGAUAAGCCUUGGAAACGGGGUCUAAUACCGGGUAUGCACAUACUGUCGCAUGGUGGUGUGUGGAAAGCUUUUGUGGUGGAGGAUGGACUCGCGGCCUAUCAGCUUGAUGGUGGGGUAGUGGCCUACCAUGGCUUUGACGGGUAGCCGGCCUGAGAGGGUGACCGGCCACACUGGGACUGAGACACGGCCCAGACUCCUACGGGAGGCAGCAGUGGGGAAUAUUGCACAAUGGGCGGAAGCCUGAUGCAGCGACGCCGCGUGGGGGAUGAAGGCUUUCGGGUCGUAAACUCCUUUCAGCAGGGACGAAGCUUUUGUGACGGUACCUGCAGAAGAAGCACCGGCUAACUACGUGCCAGCAGCCGCGGUAAUACGUAGGGUGCGAGCGUUGUCCGGAAUUAUUGGGCGUAAAGAGCUUGUAGGCGGUUUGUCGCGUCUGCCGUGAAAGCCCAGGGCUUAACCCUGGGUCUGCGGUGGGUACGGGCAGACUAGAGUGUGGUAGGGGAGACUGGAAUUCCUGGUGUAGCGGUGAAAUGCGCAGAUAUCAGGAGGAACACCGAUGGCGAAGGCAGGUCUCUGGGCCACUACUGACGCUGAGAAGCGAAAGCAUGGGGAGCAAACAGGAUUAGAUACCCUGGUAGUCCAUGCCG